AUCGAUGACCGCGAAGAACCUUACCUGGGUUUGACAUAUACCGGAAAGCCGUAGAGAUACGGCCCCCCUUGUGGUCGGUAUACAGGUGGUGCAUGGCUGUCGUCAGCUCGUGUCGUGAGAUGUUGGGUUAAGUCCCGCAACGAGCGCAACCCUUGUCCUGUGUUGCCAGCGCGUAAUGGCGGGGACUCGCAGGAGACUGCCGGGGUCAACUCGGAGGAAGGUGGGGACGACGUCAAGUCAUCAUGCCCCUUAUGUCCAGGGCUUCACACAUGCUACAAUGGCCGGUACAGAGGGCUGCGAUACCGUGAGGUGGAGCGAAUCCCUUAAAGCCGGUCUCAGUUCGGAUCGGGGUCUGCAACUCGACCCCGUGAAGUCGGAGUCGCUAGUAAUCGCAGAUCAGCAACGCUGCGGUGAAWCCGNUUCCCGGGAA
rnacentral:rRNA from 1 species